GGGGCAGGCUCGUCCGCCCAGGGUAAGUCGGGACCUAAGGCAAGGCCGAGAGGCGUAGUCGAUGGAUAACAGGUAGAAAUUCCUGUACUGUGUUUAAUCGUUAUGAGCGAUGGAGGGACGCAGGAGGGGAAACACGCAUCGAGCUGGAUCGAUGUUCAAGCAACAAGUGCGGUUAAGAGUCAAAUGCUUCUAACCAGCAAC
rnacentral:rRNA from 1 species